UAGGAAUAAAAAAUUUGAGACAUACAACAUCGAAAUGGUGCCUGAAGUAGUGUCAAAGACAGUGGCACGGCGAGUUAAUGUUUCAAAUUGGUUGUUGAAGAAUGUGAGGCAAGAUGAGUUUGUUGUGAUGAAGGCAGAAGCAGAAGUGGUUGAGGAGAUGAUAAGGAAGAGGACUAUCGAUUUGGUGGACGAACUAUUUCUACAGUGCCAGAACCAGUGGCAGAAUGGUGAAGAGAAGAAGAGCAAGAGGGCUUAUUGGGAGU
rnacentral:misc_RNA from 1 species